UCAAGUAGCCCACAUGACAGUGCGUCCCUCCCAAAGCUGUGCGCUCGGUCAAAGAGGAGGACCAUCCCCGAUAGAGGAGGACUGUUCUUCCAUCAAGGGUAUACGAGUAGCUGCGCUCCCCUGCUAGAACCUCCGAACAAGCUCUCAAGACAGUAAGAAAAUGAGAAUAAGAAAGAGAGAUGGGGAGAAAGUAUGGAGGGGGCAAACAGAAAAUAAAAAGUAAAAUGGCAUCCUUA
ensembl:misc_RNA 7SK 7SK RNA